CUUUGUCAAUCACUGAGGGAAAUAGAUCUUGAGUGUGGCCGGACAUCCGGGGCUUUCCACCCUCGGCGUGGGGCGGGCUUGAGGUGGGGAAGAUGGAAGGAUGCGAUACCCAAUGGGGAUCAAGGCCUUUGGCUUCGCGGCAGAUUGGCAGGUGCUUGAACCACUGAAAUGCCGCAGAGGGAUACCGGCGCUAUGGCAGUGAUUGGUUCACUUCGCGGGUGGGUGGUUUUCUCCGUGCGUUGGUCCCUACAGUAGAUAAAACGGGCACAGUAGCUAAAAUUAACGCCUAAGUAAAACCGCUGCCGGUGAGUUUUGGGAGUAUUUUCGCUUUUUUGAAAGUUAGUAUUUUGGCUCUCACAAAGCCUCCUGAUUUUAGUAGGCUUUCCCUGGAAUGACCCAGAUUCCUUUUCGUUACCUUAGUUAAGGCACCCCCUCCCCGUGCAGGGUCAGGGUUGGAAAACUACCGCGCUGAGCCCAAAUUACCGCGAAGAUCGUCGGAAAUGUGCGCAACUCAGCUAAAGCGGAGAUUUAAUGGAUGGUAUUCAGUAGAAAAUGGGACAAGACAUGAAUGGACAGUUUACAGGAAAAAAAAAUGCAAGGGGCCCCUAAACAUUUAAGUGGGUGCUCAGCCUUUUUCAUAAUCAGAAGAAUGCAAACGAAAACCUCACUGAGCUAAGGCUUCUGAUCCAUCAGAUUGUCAAAAAUCCAAAAGUUUAACAAGCGAGGUACGCUGUUAAGGACAAUACAGGAACCUGAUCUGUCCUGCAUUGUUGGGAGGGAGUGCAAAUUUACCUUUGACCCGCAAUCCACCUCUAGAAUCUACUCUGAAAGUAAACUUGCACAAAUAUGAAAACAGCAUACGCGCAAGGUUUUAUUUGUAGUGGCACUGUAUGAAUUUGCAAGACUGGAAACCAUGCAGAUGUCCAUGAGAGGGGGAG
rnacentral:lncRNA from 10 species